rnacentral:rRNA from 1 species
AGCAGCCGCGGUAAUUCCAGCUCCAAUAGCGUAUAUUAAAGUUGUUGCAGUUAAAAAGCUCGUAGUUGAAUUUCGGGAUCAAUACGUCGGUCGUGCUUUCGGGUACGUACUGGCGUCAUUGGUUUCUCCUUUCUGACGAACCAUGAUGUCAUUAAUUUGGUGUUAUGGGGAGUUAGGACUGUUACUUUGAAAAAUUAGAGUGUUUAAAGCAGGCAUUAGCUUGAAUACAUUAGCAUGGAAUAAUGAAAUAGGACGUUCGAUCCUAUUUUGUUGGUUUCUAGGAUCAACGUAAUGAUUAAUAGGGAUAGUUGGGGGCAUUAGUAUUCAAUUGUCAGAGGUGAAAUUCUUAGAUUUAUUGAGGACUAACUACUGCGAAAGCAUUUGCCAAGGAUGUUUUCAUUAAUCAAGAACGAAAGUUAGGGGAUCGAAGACGAUCAGAUACCGUCGUAGUCUUAACCAUAAACUAUGCCGACUAGGGAUCGGAUGAUGUUAAUUUUUAAUGACUCAUUCGGCGCUUACG